CUGAUGAUGGAGACAAAUGCAUACGCACCCUUCUUUCCCGCGAGUAUGACUACAUGUCAAUUUUCGACGAGAAGGAUGACGCUAAUAAAACCUUGUUCGACUACGCCAGGGAAAAUUGUCAUCCAUCCACAAUUUUGAAACUUUUAGACACCAUGAAAAGUCCCAUCAAACUUGGCAGUUUCGCCAAUGAAAUGAAAAAAGAAGCCUCACAGCUUGAAAAAUACGUUACUGUUCCAAUCUUCAUGCACUUCAUGAUGGAAAACUCUUUCUCUUGGACAGCCGACCUGACGAAGAUUUCAUUUGGGCACCAACCUGCAUUACGGGGAACUACAAUCCUAACAUGUAUAUUCCAGAAACUUCAAAAGUUCGCUCAUCAAUGACUGAAUGGACCAAUGAGCAACGGAGGAUGGUCCUUCUGCACCCUGCGAUGCAACUCUUUGUCCAUUUGAAGUAUCAAAACCUCCGGCCCGUUACUACAAUCCUUCUCAUAAUUCAGGUGCUGUGGAUGUGCCUCUUAGCCCAUUUUGUUGCCGUGGCUCACGGGGAUGCUGACAGUAAACCAGCAUUAUAUGUUGUGCUGCUUUUCUACAUUAGCAUCUCUUUGGUGUACGAGCUGAACGAAUUAAUGAAUUAUGGCCUUCAACGAUACGCAAACUACACCAAUUUAGCCCAGUUGUUGAGAAACGGUUUCCUCUUGGCGGCUUUAUACUAUUUACGCAAUGACCAGCCGCAUAAAG